rnacentral:misc_RNA from 1 species
UAGAACGAGAAUUAGCGCAAUGAGCCCACUUACGGGGAUCGACCCUAGACCGACCGCGCACCAGGCGAGCACUUUACCACAGGGCUACGUUCCGCCCCAACAUGGAUCAGGUUACCGUACGUCUGGCGACCGGACGGUUUGCUUGAAUGUGUAUUCAGGCUUAACGUUACACGUGUUCGGCAUUCGUUUCAUCUGAACGCUCGAUUCACCAGUUUAACCAUGUGACGGUGCGCGUUGAUGUGUGUAAUCGCUGCAGAACACCAGUGUCAGUUAUAUCGAGUACUGCAGUGUGUACCGAAAUACUCGGGUUGCCCAAUAUAUACAAAUGUAUACGGAAAUGACGCAGUCUGUCCUGGUUUCAAAGUCGCAGAGUUAUCAUGCAUAUUACGAAGCGCGAUGAAACAAACGAUGCAGUUACGUGUGGGUUUCUCGGAAACUAUUCGUGUGCGGGAUUUUUCGCAGAUGAUAUUAAUUUUAUUCCCUGAAAAUGUCGAUUAGUGCGUAAAUCAAGCUUCCAAGGUCGAAAUCGUGUUUGUAUACAUGGAUUUCAAAAUAGAAUGGCGGAUGGGAAAGAAAACUGCCUACGUGACACAAGCAAUGUAUGCCAUUUAUGUGGAGCUUUUGAUGGUUUGUCGUUGUGUGGCGGGUGCAGGAAGACGUGGUACUGCUGUAAACAACACCAGAAAGACGACUGGAAAGAACACAAAAAGCGGUGUUCGUUCAAGCGGAACAAGAAAGAUAGCAUGCCAAAGAGCGACGACAGCGGGCCGACCAAAACUUCGGACCGGGUUGGCGAUGAAAGUCGUUCUACGGAUUCCGACGAAUGCGCGUGCAGUGAGAGUUCGCACGUAGACACCACCCACAAUUCAGACGACAGGCCAAGGCUGUCGACUGAACGAUUGAAUAAAAAAUCGUCAACGAGGAAGGACAGUCCCGAACUUGACGAACAUUUAGCAGGAUCGGCGGCCUCCGCCCUGAAUUUGGACCAACCCUAUUCAGAAUUUUCAAUGAGCCCGAUGCCGGCGCAAGUGCUAACUUCAGACUCCUGGCAGUCUUCGAGUGCAUACAUUAAGAUUUUGCAGUCAAGAUUCAAGGAACUGUCCUUGUAUGUUGUGAAAUGCCUUACAAAAUACGGAGUGUGUGUUAUCGAUAACUUUCUAGGUGAAUCCAAAGGAAUGGAGAUUUUAAAUGAAAUUAAAACACUGCAUUCAUCUGGUCAGUUCCACAAGGGACAGGUGGCGGUAAAUGCCGACAGGCCUGGUAUUACGCAUGUCCGAGGUGACCUCAUCACAUGGGUGGAUGGGUCAGAGGACGGGUGUAGCAACAUCCACUUCUUAAUUUCGUGUAUGGACGCUGUCAUGACAAAGUGUCAAGACCAGCUGGAACAUUUCAAAAUUGAAGAAAGGACCAAGGCUAUGGUCGCAUGCUAUCCAGGGAAAAAAACGGGUUAUUUGCGUCACAUUGAUAAUCCUAAUGAAGAUGGACGUUGUGUUACGUGUAUAUACUACCUCAACAAAGACUGGGACGUCAAGAAACAUGGUGGGCUGUUGAGGAUUUUCCCAGAGGGUGAGGACAUGGUAGCAAACGUAGAGCCAAAGUUUGACAGGUUGGUCUUUUUCUGGUCUGAUCGGCGGAAUCCACAUGAAGUUAUGCCAACUUUCAGAGAAAGUUGGUAUUGUGCCAGCAGGAAGAAAGCCAACUUUGCUACACUCCGAAUUAGCACCUACUUGGAUAAACAAAGCAAAAAUUUAUCACAGACAUUUUUGUUAUUGACUUGAACUUCCCACAAUUGUGUUGGAUGAUGAAUAGUGAAAUUCUGAAAGUGCAGUAUUUUGAUUUUGGUAUCCAUGGAAACUCUAGGAACUUGAUGCAACACCAUGAUCCUCAUCUGCUGUCCACUUCAGCUCAGGCUGUAGGGCGUGGAUAUGCUGUUACCGUGUGGUAUUAUGACACAGAUGAAAGAAACAGAGCGGUGAAGAGAUUUAAAAGAAGCUUAGGAAACUUUGACAGGAAAGGUUCUGUGCCACAGGCUGUUCCUCUUAUCAACAGCAAAGACUAG